rnacentral:rRNA from 1 species
GACGAACGCUGGCGGCGUGCCUAAUACAUGCAAGUCGAGCGGAACUGGGGGAGCUUGCUCCUUCCAGUUUAGCGGCGGACGGGUGAGUAACACGUGGGCAACCUGCCCUGCAGAUCGGGAUAACUCCGGGAAACCGGUGCUAAUACCGAAUAGUUUGGCGCCUCGCCUGAGGCGCUACGGAAAGACGGUUUCGGCUGUCACUGCAGGAUGGGCCCGCGGCGCAUUAGCUAGUUGGUGGGGUAACGGCCCACCAAGGCGACGAUGCGUAGCCGACCUGAGAGGGUGACCGGACACGGUGGGACUAAGACACGGCCCAGACUCCGACGGGAGGCAGCAGUAGGGAAGCUUCCGCAAUGGACGCAAGCCUGACGGAGCAACGCCGCGUGAGUGACGAAGGUUUUCGGAUCGUAAAACUCUGUUGUGAGGGAAGAACACGUACCAACUAACUAUUGGUACCUUGACGGUACCUCGCCAGAAAGCCACGGCUAACUACGUGCCAGCCGCCGCCGUAA